rnacentral:rRNA from 1 species
GACGAACGCUGGCGGCGUGCUUAACACAUGCAAGUCGAACGGUAAGGCUCCAGCUUGCUGGGGUACACGAGUGGCGAACGGGCGAGUAACACGUGGGUGACCUGCCCUGCACUUCGGGAUAAGCCUGGGAAACUGGGUCUAAUACCGGAUAGGACCAUGGUGUGGAUACUGUGGUGGAAAGUUUUUUCGGUGUGGGAUGGGCCCGCGGCCUAUCAGCUUGUUGGUGGGGUAAUGGCCUACCAAGGCGGCGACGGGUAGCCGGCCUGAGAGGGUGGACGGCCACAUUGGGACUGAGACACGGCCCAGACUCCUACGGGAGGCAGCAGUGGGGAAUAUUGCACAAUGGGCGGAAGCCUGAUGCAGCGACGCCGCGUGGGGGAUGACGGCCUUCGGGUUGUAAACUCCUUUCACCAUCGACGAAGGGUUUCUGACGGUAGAUGGAGAAGAAGCACCGGCUAACUACGUG